rnacentral:tRNA from 1 species
GGGAAUGAUUGGGUGGCUGGUGCCCCUCACGGUCUUCAAAACCGCUGUCUUGCUUUAUAGGCAAGAGCUGGGUUCAAUUCCCAGGCGUUCCC